rnacentral:rRNA from 1 species
AGUGAACGCUGGCGGCAGGCCUAACACAUGCAAGUCGAACGAACUCUUCGGAGUUAGUGGCGGACGGGUGAGUAACACGUUGGAACGUGCCUUUUGGUUCGGAAUAACUCAGGGAAACUUGAGCUAAGAGCCAAUGUGCCCUUCGGGGGAAAGAUUUAUCGCCAUUAGAGCGGCCCGCGUCGGAUUAGGUAGUUGGAGGUGUAACGGACCCCCAAGCCGACGAUCCGUAGCUGGUCUGAGAGGAUGAUCAGCCACACUGGGACUGAGACACGGCCCAGACUCCUACGGGAGGCAGCAGUGGGGAAUCUUGCGCAAUGGGCGAAAGCCUGACGCAGCCAUGCCGCGUGAAUGAUGAAGGUCUUAGGAUUGUAAAAUUCUUUCACCGGGGAAGAUAAUGACGGUACCCGGAGAAGAAGCCCCGGCUAACUUCGUGCCAGCCGCCGCUGUAACAC